rnacentral:rRNA from 1 species
CCCUUUGAUACUCUGGGCGGCACGCGCGCUACAAUGGAUAACUUAACGUGUUACAUGUCCGAAAGGAUGUAUGCAAAUCACAAAUGUUAUGUCUCGAGUGGGAUAGUUUACUGCAAUUAUAGACUUGAACUAGGAAUCCCUUGUAGGUACACUGAAGCAUAGUGUACCGAAUACGUCCCUGCCGUUUGUACACACCGCCCGUCGUUUCUUCCGACUGAUACUCAUUGUGAAUUGCGGGGAUAACGUUGUUGAAAACCGUUGUAAAUGCUGGGUAUUGGAGGAAGAAAAAGUCAUAACA